rnacentral:rRNA from 2 species
CAACAGGGAUUCCCCUAGUAACGGCGAGUGAAGCGGGAACAGCUCAAAUUUGAAAUCUGGCCCUUGGGUCCGAGUUGUAAUUUGCAGAGGAUGCUUUUGGUGCGGUGCCUUCCGAGUUCCCUGGAACGGGACGCCUUAGAGGGUGAGAGCCCCGUACGGUUGGCCACCAAGCCUGUGUAAAGCUCCUUCGACGAGUCGAGUAGUUUGGGAAUGCUGCUCAAAAUGGGAGGUAUAUUUCUUCUAAAGCUAAAUACUGGCCAGAGACCGAUAGCGCACAAGUAGAGUGAUCGAAAGAUGAAAAGCACUUUGAAAAGAGGGUUAAAUAGCACGUGAAAUUGUUGAAAGGGAAGGAUUUAUGACCAGACUUUUUCUAGGGGGAUCAUCCGGUGUUCUCACCGGUGCACUUCCCCUAGUUGAGGCCAGCAUCGGUUUCUGUCGGGGGAUAAAAGCUUCGGGAAUGUGGCUCCCUCCGGGGAGUGUUAUAGCCCGUUGCAUAAUACCCUGACGGGGACCGAGGUUCGCGCAUUGCAAGGAUGCUGGCGUAAUGGUUAUUAAUCACCCGUCUUGAAACACGGACCAAGGAGUCGAACAUUUGUGCGAGUGUUUGGGUGUUAAACCCUCACGCGUAAUGAAAGUGAACGGAGGUGAGAGCCCCUCGGGGUGCAUCAUCGACCGAUCCUGAUGUCUUCGGAUGGAUUUGAGUAAGAGCAUAACUGUUCGGACCCGAAAGAUGGUGAACUAUGCGUGGAUAGGGUGAAGCCAGAGGAAACUCUGGUGGAGGCUCGCAGCGGUUCUGACGUGCAAAUCGAUCGUCAAAUCUGCGCAUGGGGGCGAAAGACUAAUCGA